UGGCUCAGUGGUAGAGUGCGACUUUAGCAUAGUUGAGGCCGGGGGUUCGAUUCCUCCAUCUCCA
rnacentral:tRNA from 1 species